GGCUUCAUUAUAACCCUCACUAUAAUUUAUAACCAUUGUAUUUGUUACUUUACUGACUUUUGUCUUUUGACUUUUUUUUUUUACUUUUGACUAAAAUCUGAGCUUCAGCUGUACAAAAUCACGUUUCCCUCAUCUUCACAGUACUCCCAACACACAGCACAGUCUCCGGGCCAGCACAUACCAGUUACUUGAAAAAUACUGUUAUCAAAUACAAGGUGACGCUCGCCACCCAUGGGGAGGCUGGGCUGGGAAGCCCUCUCUUUAUUUGUGUGGCUUAUUUCUAGCCUGUUCUUUGACCUGGAUGGUAUUAAUGCUUUGGCUUAUACACAAAGGCAAUGGGAAAAUGAGGUAAUUCUGUGGGUAAUUCGAGCAGAAAGGACCACCCAUUCUGACCUCAAUUAUUUGGUUAUUUUAGGUGGAAGUAACUUCAAACCCGAAAAAGUGUUUUAGCUGCAGCCAGAUCAGGAAGGCUUCCCCACUGAGGCUGUGCCGGCUACCUCAGGCAGCACCUAGGCAGGAGACACAGAUGCAAAUACUCACAUGUAUACACACUGCACACACACUUAAGAGUGCAAAGAGAGCAGGGGACAGCCAAGGAACAGGAAGUUCUGUGUAGCAGGUGUUCCCUUCCCACUACAGCUGGCUUUUUAAAGCAGCCAUCGGCUCCCCCUGUUCAAGUGUUCUUUUCUGGGGCCCGAGGAAGUCAUCUCUUGACCUUGGCAGUCCUGGGCUAGCUCCAAGCUUGAACCUCGCAGACAGGGAGGACAGGGCUAGUAGACAAAGUGUUCAAGGAGAUGUGUUCCACAAUUUUAGAUUUAAAAACAGAACAAAAAUUCAACUCUAAGCUAGCGAGCUAGGCUCUGUCGUGUCAAUAGUAUUUAAAGGUGAUAUUUGGCUAGAGCAGUAAGCUCUGCAAAUGAAAACAACUUGGCCUUCUCUCUCUCCUCCCUACCCUCUCCGUUUCUCUCUCUCCUCUCCUUUCCUGUCUUUUCUGUUCUCUCCUCUCCUAUGGAAUGAUGCUGUAUCCUUUGGGACGUCUCUAACACAGCCCUGCAGCAAGGGUGGAGGUGACACCAUUGCCCUGCAGGUAACAAGGCUGAAACUCAAGGAGUUAAGUCACUUGCCCUCAGUGCUCACUUAGCUGGGCACUCAGCCCACCUGGCUCUGAGCGUGCACCCUGACCCAGCUGGAGAUGGUUGCAGGGUGAGAGCAAGUCUCUCAUGACUUUCAGGCUCCUCUGGGCCGUGAGCUGCCUGGCAGGGAGCCAGGAGCGGCUGGUUUCCCUCUGGCCCUGUCCACACUCUAGAAGCACUCAGCUCAAGCUGAUAGGCGUGCAGGUGUCGCGAGAUGGCUCUGACACAGACAGGAGCCCUCUGUGGGGCCCAAUGUAGAUGUCUGCCAAUCCAGAGCCCCCACCAUGGGGAAGGCGCCUCAUGCACACUUAGAAACACUGGCUCCUAUAUAGCAAGUGGCCUCAGAGCCCUGGCCCCCAGCUGUCAACGCCAGCAAUCUCUCUUAGGAGCUAAGCCCUCACACUUUCUAGGGCUACAAGGAGCCAGGUUUCCAGCAAUGCUAUAACGUGAUUUGAGCCCAGGGCCUUGUCCUCUGGCCAGUGGCUUCAUAGUUCAGAUUCCCAUGACCAUGGUAGGAUUGGUACCCAAGAGCUCUAGACCUUCCAGCUGAGCCUCACAGGGAACAUGACACCUUCCCAGUUCAGCACCAGGCCUCCAAGUCCUUCUGGCUUGCAAGGAGUUAGAAUUGUGGCACAUUCUGGUGACCUCUAGCCUAAUAAUCUAGAUGAUCACUCCCAUGAUGAAACAGUUAAUUUCUCAUUACAGGUAAAGGAGCAGGUGGGGUCAAAAUAUGGGCUGGGUGAAAAAAAAAGUGGAUGUUUGAAUAAUGGAACCGAACCUGGAAAUCUGAUCCUAAUAGUUAUUGGGGGUGUCUACAGUUUCCACACCUGGGAAGCCUCAUACAGUGCAAUUUUCUUGUCUUAGCUAUCUUUUUUUUUUUUUUUUUUUUUGGUCACUGCAACAAAAUACCAAGCCAAAAAAAAAAAAUGUAAAGAAGAAAGGUUGAUUUCAGUUCACACUCUCAGAGUACCUUCCACCUUGGUGAGGAAGCUAUGGCGACAGGAACUUGAGACAACUGGUCACAUUGUACCUGUAGUUAAGGACAUGGAGGGAGAAAGCCUCAGUCUUUUAAUGUGUCAUUCUUGGAGUGAGGAGAGCCUGAGCUGGGACCCAUUUUCUGGAUCCAAACCACAAAGCUUCUCCAGCACAAGUAUGCUUUAAACCUGCUACCUAAUCCUUCGUGGAAAGGAAGCAACAGCCAUCUAUCUCCCUGGUGUGGAACAAGGGUCAGACAGCUGAGCCUCUGCUAUGCCUACAGCUGCGAGAGCAUCUGCACACAGAUGGGCUGGGAGAAAGACUGGGGCCCUUUAGAUGGGAAAGUGAUACAGAUCAUAGAAGGGCCAAGAGGGCCUCAAAGCUUCUGGGUGAGAAGGUGAGGGGUAACCUUACCAGAACUAAGGAGGUUACUACUACAGAGAAGAGAAGACAAAGGACCCAGGUUAUAGUAACCUCAACAUCGUUUUCUAAAAGGCCGAUAUAUUCAUUAAAUUGUGCUCGGAAGCAGAGGUAGCCGGUGCUCUGCAAAUAUUUAUAGCAGCAUUUUAAAAUUCAUUAUGUUUUAUGAGUAAAGUAUGACAAUGAAUGUUAUGAAAAGGAUAAAUAACAAAAUAGCAGACACCCAAAAAGUGAAAGGCUCAACUAAUUCCACCAUGUUGGAAAUAAACACAGGUAGUGGAUUAGGGUAGUUAUACAAGGGCUUUAGCCAAUCAUCUGUUUAUAUAGUAAAGACACAUGGAGGGGAAAAGGUGUGUCUGAACUCAUCUUCCAGCUGUCUGUGACUGAAGAGCCCUCUGCCAGAUUCUUUAAAUCAAAACACCACCUUCUGCCACCUGGUGAGAGCGAUCUCAUUUCCUGAUAGGAUGGGGUAUCCCAGGCAUGGCUGUCUUUCCAGUUCAGUAGCAGCAAUCUUACCCUAUCAGUGGGGUCCCCUGCUGUCACCAAGAUACUUCUUACUUGGGGGUCAAUAUGGCAUCUGAAACAAGGCAUGAUGGGUAGGAGGAUUCUGUGAUACAGAAAUACAUGUUUGGCCUCUG